rnacentral:rRNA from 1 species
UACGUAGGGUGCGAGCGUUAAUCGGAAUUACUGGGAGUAAAGCGGGCGCAGGCGGUUUUGUAAGGCAGCUGUGAAAGCCCCGGGCUUAACCUGGGAAUGGCAUUUGGGACUGCAAGGCUUGAGUGCGGCAGAGGAGACUGGAAUUCCUGGUGUAGCAGUGAAAUGCGUAGAUAUCAGGAGGAAUACCGAUGGCGAAGGCAGGUCUCUGGGCUGACACUGACGCUCAUGCACGAAAGCGUGGGGAGCAAACAGG